AUUGGCAUGGGAUCUUGCUAUUGGGGGAAUAUACAGUCCCAGGUGCCAUAGGACGUUCAUCUAAUCUAAUAGCUCGUGCUAAUCUGAACAACAGAGGGGCAGGGCAAGUAAGCCUCCGCGUAAAUAGCUCUGAGCAGCUCCAACUUGCACUGGUCGCAUUGUUUCCUCUGUUCAAGAAGCUACUUAGUUAUUAUUCCCUCAGCAAAUGGAAUAUUGACAAUAAUGGAUCACUUCGGGUUUCAAUUCACUUACUACAAGAACAUCCUAGAUUGAGAGUUGAAAAGGAACCUUGGUGUGCCCUUUGGGUUGAAAACUUUAAGAACAAUUUGUUGGAGGAGGCCUCUGUUUUCUUUACAUAGCCAGAACAUUGUUCGUUCCUUGUCUAAUUUAAGCAUAGUUGUGGUUUUAUUCUCUUUCCAAAACCUUUGUAUGGCUUUCUGUUCAUGUCUACCUCUGGAUUUUUCAUAAAGCUUGUUAAAAUUAUGCUGCAAUCUACUUGUUGAUUUUAAGACA